CCAUUCGUAGUGGUCAAACAUCACCGACUGACCACAAGAUGAGAAGCAGUGAGAUACAGGAAAAGACAAGAGAGCAUGGAACCGGAAAUGACGCAGAAUUACAAAAGGCAAAAACUUACUCAACUGACAAAGAUCAGGCAAGCGGAGUUCCAGCAGAUCGUCACUCAGGAUAAAGCUGCGACCAAAGUGAAGAAAACAUUUUUCGAGCGUCAUCUGGACAGACUUCUCGGGGUAAGUUAAUUUUUGGAAAACUUAUCGUUGGUAUUAAGUAUGUUAUGAGUGUUGCGGAGAGGGACUGGAAAUAUUUUGGUUUUAUAUUACUUAAGUUUAUUUUGUUUUAUAUUUUAGAGAGAAAAGAAAAAAGCAAAGAAAAUAAAAUCAGCAGGACUUCGAGACAGCACCCCCAGUGGAGGAAGUAGGAAACUUCCAUCAAAGGCCCAUAACAAAAGGGAUUGGAUCCUUAAAAACAUCCUGUGCUGUUUUGUCCGCCAGACGGCGACAGUGGAGCCCAUUGCUGACUAAAUAGAUGAUGUGUGUGAGACUAUCAUCGGAAAAUGUCAGCAAAAUCACAGAAGACUGGAUCCGGAAUAAAAGUGUACCAAGUGAACACGUGGAAACAUCGUGAUAAAAAGACCAACAUGUUUUCUUGAGAACUGAGAUGAUUACAUAUUCAUAAAUUCACUUUUUUAUUUAUUUUUUUAAUUUUUUUUUUAAUAGAAAUAAUCAAUUUAAUCACUCACCUAUAACAUGUCAAACUAAAACCAGCCAACGUCUCUUAUAUGUACGUUUAAAGCUAGUAAGGUUAUCUAAAUUUGU